GCAGCUCAAGCCACAGAGGACAACUAAGCAGCUGAAAUACGGCUAAGCUAAGCUGAGACUCACUAUAAGUGUAAAAGGAAGACCGGAGUUAAGAUUUAGACUGGAAGCAGAAUUGAAGUACUCAGAUGGGAAAACUGAAGCUUAAAGGGGAGAGGAAUCACACAGCUAGCAACUUUGCAUGCCAAAGCUCACCAUGCAGAACUGGCUGAGAGCUGGCUGGAGCAUCUUCCGUUAGAUCCUGCUGCUCCAUGGGGAAAAAAAAAGUCUUCUGUGGAGAAAACCAUGAAGAUUUCAGCAGCAUUAUCUGCAUGGCCUGAUCAACUACAAGACUUUGGAAUUCCAACUACAGUAUAAGAGAAAUUGACAGCUAAAAUAAAUGGUGGAAGAAAAGCAUAUUCCUACCUCAGCCCUGCAGGAGCACUGAAGUUCAAAGCCCCAGGCAGAGCUCCGCCUAAGCUGGCUUCAUGAAUGCUGUAUUAUUGUUCUGCUGAGCAGUUACCCCCAUGCCAAGCAAGUCAGAACAAGCCUUCUAAGCUGUGCUGAUGGAUGUUUGCAGAGAACCUGUGGGAGUUAUUAAUAUUCAUGUUCCCGUCACACUUUCUGCAAGUAAAGGAAGCUUGUUUUCUGUAACACAUCAUUAGGUACAUCACCAUCUCUCUGAAAUGGAGCCGGUUUCCUUCCUCCCAAGGUCAGCUUAUAAAAUGGAUUCUUCCACAAAAUUAAAACCCUCUUACAUACACCAGCAAGACAAUGUGAGUACCUCGCCCUGCACCUGUCAUGCUGGAAGCAGCUAUAGCAUUUGCACUUAUUUGCAGUGUGCAGGGGGCAUUACUAGCCUGUUAUUCCAAUCUUGUUCCCUUGCCCUCCCAACUUUCCAAAGUCCCACAAAGGACAGAAGAUGCUGGAAGGGGCUGUUGCCAUUACUACAUGGGAAGAAUGGAUAGUGAGGGGGGGAAGAAAAUUAUAAUUGAUUAUUAAUGUAUUUUCCCACGCCAUGCUGAGAACGGUGUGACUUCAGUGAUCUCCAGCCUUCUGACUAUACAGUGCCCAGUGGAGAACCUGGCACAUAGUAGCUAUUCAAUAAAUGCUUGAUGAAAGAAGAAAUGGAAACUACUGUCCAGUAGCAUACGCUGUGGCUCAGCAAAGGCUCUCUCCUGGGCUCAUUUCCAUGUCAUCCAGCAAGAGCUAAGG